GGUUCUAUGGUGUAAUGGUUAGCACUCUGGACUUUGAAUCCAGCGAUCCGAGUUCAAAUCUCCGUAGAACCU
rnacentral:tRNA from 1 species